rnacentral:lncRNA from 1 species
GUGGCAUUUAUUUUUCAUAAGCUUCUUUUAAUUUAUAAUUCAUAGAAUGAAUAUAUGCAUAUUUUCUAACUGUGCCUUUUGUUUUAUUUCUAAGUGCCUUAUACAUAAUAUUUGUAAUUGUUAUACAUGUAUAAAGGAAUAAAUACUGUUUAUGAUGCAGUGUUGUUAAGUUAAAUGUACACACAGGCAACACAGCAUAGACAC